AGAGUUUGAUCCUGGCUCAGAAUCAACGCUGGCGGCGUGCCUAACACAUGCAAGUUGAGCGCUUGAGGGGGGCAACCCCCAAGAGAGCAGCGAACGGGUGAGUAACGCGUGGGUGAUCUUCCUUCGAGUGGGGAACAACAUCGGGAAACUGGUGCUAAUUCCGCAUAAUAUCCUCGGGCCACGAGCCUGGGGAUCAAAGCCGGGGACCGCAAGGCCUGGCGCUUGAAGAUGAGCCCGCGUCCGAUUAGCUAGUUGGCGGGGUAAUGGCCCACCAAGGCUCCGAUCGGUAGCCGGCCUGAGAGGGCGGACGGCCACACUGGAACUGAGACACGGUCCAGACUCCUACGGGAGGCAGCAGUGGGGAAUUUUUCGCAAUGGGCGCAAGCCUGACGAAGCAACGCCGCGUGGAGGAUGAAGGUCUUCGGAUUGUAAACUCCUGUCGACCGGGACGAAUGCACUCGACCUAAUACGUCGGAAUGUUGACGGUACCGGUGGAGGAAGCCACGGCUAACUCUGUG
rnacentral:rRNA from 1 species